UCCCGCAACGAGCGCAACCCUUAUCCUUGUUUGCCAGCACAUAAUGGUGGGAACUCCAGGGAGACUGCCGGUGAUAAACCGGAGGAAGGUGGGGACGACGUCAAGUCAUCAUGGCCCUUACGAGUAGGGCUACACACGUGCUACAAUGGCAGAUACAGAGGGCAGCGAAGCUGCGAAGUGGAGCGAAUCCCUUAAAGUUUGUCGUAGUCCGGAUUGGAGUCUGCAACUCGACUCCAUGAAGUCGGAAUCGCUAGUAAUCGUGGAUCAGAAUGCCACGGUGAAUACGUUCCCGGGCCUUGUACACACCGCCCGUCACACCAUGGGAGUGGGCUGCACCAGAAGUAGAUAGCUUAACCUUCGGGAGGGCGUUUACCACGGUGUGGUUCAUGACUGGGGUGAAGUCGUAACAAGGUAGCCCUAGGGGAACCUGGGGCUGGAUCACCUCCUUACU
rnacentral:rRNA from 1 species